rnacentral:rRNA from 1 species
UACGGGGGGGAGCAAGCGUUGUUCGGAUUUACUGGGCGUAAAGGGCGCGUAGGCGGUCAGCACAAGUCAGUUGUGAAAUCUCCGGGCUUAACUCGGAAAGGUCAACUGAUACUGUGCGACUAGAGUGCGGAAGGGGCAACUGGAAUUCUCGGUGUAGCGGUGAAAUGCGUAGAUAUCGAGAGGAACACCUGCGGCGAAGGCGGGUUGCUGGGCCAACACUGACGCUGAUGCGCGAAAGCUAGGGUAGCAAACGGG